rnacentral:lncRNA from 1 species
UACUGAAGGCUUGAAGGUAAAGUGGCCCUAAUCACUGGUGGGGCGAGCGGCAUAGGAGAGUCCACUGCAAGACUCUUCUCAAAACAUGGAGCUAAAGUUGUGAUUGCAGAUGUGCAAGACGACUUGGCUGAAUCUGUUUGCAGAGACCUAAGCCCUUCGCCCACUUUGUUUGUCCAUUGUGAUGUAACGAAAGAAGAAGACGUCGAAAACGCUGUCCAAACAACCACAAACAAAUAUGGAGAGCUAGACAUCAUGUUCAACAAUGCAGGUAUAAUUGGCACGAAUAAACCCAACAUCCUUGACAAUGACAAGGUAGAAUUUGAGCAAGUGAUAAGGGUAAAUCUAGUUGGUGCGUUUUUGGGGAUCAAACAUGCAGCUCGUGUUAUGAUCCCAGCUGGAAAAGGUAGCAUAAUAAACACUGCUAGUGUUUGUUCUACCAUCGGGGGUUGCGCAUCACAUGCAUACACAAGUUCAAAGCAUGGUUUAGUAGGGCUGGUGAGAAACACGGCCGUGGAGCUUGGACAACAUGGUAUUCGUGUGAAUUGUGUGUCACCGUAUGCAGUUGCCACGAAGUUAGCAAAGGAGUUCUUUAAGAUUGAUGAUGAUGGAGUUCAUGGUGCUUAUUCCAACCUUAAAGGUAGGGUUCUUAAGGCAGAAGAUAUUGCUGAAGCUGCUCUUUACUUGGGUAGUGAUGAGUCAAAGUAUGUUAGUGGGCAUAAUCUUUUGGUAGAUGGAGGCUACACUAUUAUGAACGCAGGGUUUUGCAUGUUUGAACAAGCUUGAGAAAAAUGUUCAAUGUAAUAAGUUGGCAAAAUAAAUAAUUUGCGCAGCGUCUCUUACGAACCCUUACUUGUGAAUGUUUGCCACAUAACACAGCACAGCAGCUUCCUCCAGUGGCAGUAAUACUUGUGAUAUUCAUUUUUUCUGUGCCAUCACAUGCGUACCCUGUCCUAAAUUGUACCUAAGUAUAAAUAUCUCUUCCACAAACACAUGCCACACCUCGACAUUAAACAGAGAAGCACUAAUUCACACCAUUUUUAAAAUAAUUUUUUUUUUUAUAACAAAUUACAAAGAAGAUCCUCUUCCAUGUAGCUGGCAUGGCAUGAAAGAGAUGUUGUAAAUAUGUGGAUGGCCCACAACUAUUAGGAUGAAGACUUUUGUGUGUUAUAGGUGAAAGUGAAAAGACUAAAGUUAAGGCUGUGUAGAAAAUGUUACAACACCCGGUGAAUUGCUUAUCAAAUUCACUGUGGUAGCUGUAAAUUUUCGCUAUAAAAGGAAUCCUGAGCUGAUGAAGCUAGACACACCAAUCAAAAGAGAAAAAUGAGAGAGAAAUCAGAGAGUUAAGUUUUAUCCGAGAGAGAAAAUUCUAUUAGUGUAAUAUCACAACAGCAAAUACAAUCUCACUCUAAUAUUCACUAGUACUUUCAUAUUUUAUAACAAAAGAAGCAAUAAUUCACACAAGUGUCUUUUUCUUUUUUGAUGAAAACAAAAAUUACAAAGAAGAUACUCUACGAAUCUUUAAAUAAAAUAAAUCAAAUUUGAAAUGUAUAAAACCUGAGAUGGGAAAUUGAUAAACCAUAUCAAGGGUCCCACGACUGCAACGUGGGUAAUUCUUUUAUUUUCCUGCCCUAUAGCUGACAUGGGAUGAAAGGGAAGAAGACUAGGGUAAUUUUAAUCUAAUAGAUAUGCUCAUUCUACCGCAAUAAUAAUACUAAUAAUAAUCUAAACAUAUCGAGAUAAUUAUUGUUGUGACUGUAACACCGCUCGUAAUGUUGUUAAACCAAUCCGCAAAUGUUUUCACACAUAUAUUUGACUUUAAAUUAUAUUAUUUAUUUAUAUUAUAACAUGUAAGUUUAUAAUAACAUCAUGUUAUCGUGCGUUAAUAUCUUAUAAAAAAUUUAUCUUAUAAUUAUAUUCAACAUAAUUGAGUUCAAUCACAUACGGUGUGAGUGGUAGUUGGUAGCACAAAUAAUUGUUCUAAAUAUAAGCAUAUGGUGUGAAAAGUAUUCAUAACGUGCUGCAUAAAAUUCACAUGGGUUGUUUGAAAGUUCUAAAUAUAAGCAUGUGGUGUGAAAAGUAAUCAUAACGUGAUGCAUAAAAUUCACAUGUGUUGUUUGAAAGUUCUAAAUAUAAGCCUGCGGUGUGAAAAGUAUUCAUAACGUGCUGCAUAAAAUUUACUUGUGUUGUUUGAAAUCGACUUAGAGCUAGUUGGGUAUUGCUGUGCUUUUUUUAAAAUUUUAAAUAAUAAAAAAAAACUGCUUUUGUUGUGCUAUCAUAAUAAAUAGCUGUGAAAUGAAGCAAUGAAGUAUUUGGUAAUCUAUAUUUGUAAAAGUGUUGUGAGUAUAAAAAACAGUGUCAUAGUGUUUGGUAAACUUUUUUCAAGAAGUACUGUGAUUGUGUAUAAUGACCAAAAAGGGUAUGAUAUUGAAAUUUUAUAUUUAUAUUUUUUCUAAUUUAAAAAAAUUGAUAUUUAUGUUCUUUUACAAUGAUUUACAAUUUUUUUAAUAAUCUUAAUAGUAACUAGUCUCUGCGCUUCCGCACCUAAGAGAGGCUUUUUAAAAAAAAAUUAUUUAUUUUAGAAUUAAAAAAGAUAAUGGGUAGUUGUGUUUCAUAAAAAUAAUAUUUUUCUUUUAUUUUUAAUAUGAAAAAGUGUGAAUUUACCAUAUUAUCCUCAUUUAAUUAAUAAUUUUAAUUCUUAAUGUUUGCAUUAACCAAGUGCAUUUUCUGUAUUUUGAAUGUUUUACUAUUCUCUGCCUUUUACUUUAUAUAAUAGUCAUAUACACUAAAAAAAAAAGAAAAAAAAAAGAAAAAAUGGUCUCUGGAAUUCUUUUAAUGGUCUCUGUUUUUUUUAACAUUGCCACCAUCGACCUGCAACCCACGCCCAACUUCCCUACCCUCUCCCUCUGUAAUUUCUCUCCUCCUUUAACCUCCCCCUCUGUUUUUAAUUAUUUUAAGUUGUUUGAAUAAAUGUUUGUGUAAAAGGAAAUGUGAAACUACCUUGUGCAAGUAAUUAUUUUGCAAAAUAUACAGAGGGAGAAGGGUGGGUUGCGGGUGGGCAUGGGGUGGUCGGGUUGUAGAGACAAGAAAAAAACAGAGGGAGAGGGAGAGCAGAAGAAGGAGAGAGGGUAGAGAGAGAGAGAGAGAGAGAGAGAGAGAGAGAGAGAGGCUAAAUGAAUUUUUAAUGGAUUUUCAUAAAAAAAAAUUAGUUAUUUAUUUAUUUAAUCCACAUGUCAUGAUGUGAUUGGACAUGUGGGCUCCACUUAUCUUCCACAUCAGACACUUAACAUAAUAUCUAACGGCAGAGACCAUUUGUGAUUGAAAAAAAAAAGUAAAUUUAGGUUUUAGCCAUAAAAAAACUUUCACUUUUGGAAAAAGCCAAAGCUUUUUCAAAAAAGACAGAAAAACCUCUCGACUUUCUAAUCAAAGACAUGCAAAUGUAAAGGAUUCCUUGAGAAAUCCAAAAUUAAAUAAAGGCAAUUUUGUCCAUUUUGACUUCUUUUAAAAAAUUUCUCUCUCCUUUGGGUUUUUCCAAAGUCUCCCAAAAAAAAACCCUAACGUUAAGAACUAUUAAUGUCACAAAAAACCUCAAAGACCGAUCGUGAUAAUUUUGUAAACGUUAAGGACUAUUUAUGAUUAAAAAAAAACUUUAAAAAAUUAAAAAACAGUUUUAUCUUGAUUUACCAAACACUUUUUCAUUCAGAAUUUUAAAAUCACAACAACUCCAAUCUAAGCCUUAUAAAUACAGCUACAAGUCUACAACAAAGUUACACUCGGAAGUCCAAAGGAGAGCUUAGAAUGACUUUGGUGUAGGUCUCAAGAAGCAAACAUUCUUGUUAUAGAGGUUUAAAGGAGUGAUGGCUAUCGGAAAUUUCUCAUUACUAGCUGCUGCUGCAAGAAGGUAUAUUAUAAUUUAUAUAUGCAUCUAUUUAUUUUCUUCUAUUUGCUUUUUUUUAUCCUCUUCACACCUCCUAAAAUCUUAUUAUUUUCAUUUUAUCCUAACUUGUCCCAAUUAAAACAAGAUGAUUGUAUUCUUCUUUGUUUUUUCUUUUGUUUUCUAGGAUGGUCGUCGAUGUCAUGACUAUGGCUCUGGUAACUAUCAUGGCUGUGUCCUAAAUUUUUUUAUGAAUUCUAAUUAUGUUUAAAAAAAAUAAUAAUAAUAAGAGGAUGAACAUAAGAUGUAAAAAGAAAUAGAAUUAAUUGAUUUCAAUCGGUCUUUGACUCCUGUCAAAAAAAUUAAAAUAAAAUGGGGCUUUGAUUAAUUAGUUAUUUUCCACAGAAAACAACACUCAGUAGUUAAGCCGACCAUUGUUGUUGGUGUACUCUUUGUAUUGACACUUUGUGGCUAGAGACCCUCUUUAUGGUUGUAUUAUUGAAGUAAUUUUCAGUUGCUAAAGAUGUCCUUACUUUGUUUCCUUUUUCAAUAUUUCUCAAUAGUUUCAUUAUAACGUUUAUAUUAAAUGAAUGUUUUAUAUACAUUUUUAUUUCAUGAAAAAUAAAUAAAAAUAAAAUCUAUAAAAUAGACCCAAGGGUGAAAUCGAAUCAAUGACUAUGGUGGGCUGUAGCCCAAGUAGAUUUUGAAGGAAAAAAAAAAGUCUAUUUAUAUGUUCCACCAGCAACAAUUUUGCUGCCUUUUGGCGAAAGUUUUUUUAAGGUGAAAAAAAAAAAAGGCUAUAUGGCCCACCAUCAAAUACAACACAUAAGAUUCAGGAAAUAUAUAUUUUUUUUUGUCAAAUCAAUUUGUGUGCUCUGCUACUAGCCUCUCUGCACGCGCUUCCGCGCUUGCGAGAGGUUUUUUUAAAAAAAUAAGUAAAUUUAUUUUAGAAUUAAAAAAGAUAAUGGGUAGUUGUGUUCCAUAAAAAUAGGAUCCAUUAUCUGCUUUUUCUUUUUCUUUUAAUUUUUUUAAAUAUGAAAAAGUGUGAAUUUACCAUAUUAUCCUCAUUUAAUUAAUAAUUUGAAUUCUUAAUGUUUGCAUUAACCAAGGGCAUUUUCUGGUAUUUUGAAUGUUUCAUCAUUCUCUACCUUUUACUUUAUAUAUAUAGAUUUAACAAAAAGGGAAAAGCUAUUUAAUAUUGGACGGUCCAAUAAAAAUCCUCAUAAAUCUUUCAACCCGCAAUUGCAGACUCGGUAAGUAAUUGAAAUUCAUAAGUAAGAAGAGGGCUUCAAAAAUGGAACAGUAUGUUAACUAUUGUUUUGUGUUUACAACUAACACACACACACACACACACACUAUAUAUAUAUAUAUAUAUAUAUAUAUAUAUAUAUUCCUAGCUAAAAAUUUUGAUGUCUCUUUUUAGCUAAAAUUUUUAGGUAGCCCAUCCAUUGAUAAAUUUCUAGUUCCGCUUUAGUCACAGUUCCGCCCUAGUCACAUAAGGAUAAUGUACAUGAAAUUUAUUGAAGUCAAUUACAUUAAAACUCUUUGAGAUAUAUACAUAAGCGAUAGUCUAAAUUAUUCUAAAUUAAUCUAAUCUUCAAAGAGAGGAAUUUGAAAUUGGAGUGCACAGGCUCUUUGCUGUGUCAAUUAAAUUAUGAACCUAUGAUUUAACCCUUACACCUUUGACGAAUAUCAUAGCACAAUUAAAUUAUGAACCUAUAUUUGCUAAUUAUCUUACAAGAAGAACAUUGGAGACUAGGGAUCGGAGACAAAAACUCUAUUUUAUUUCAAAAUUUUCCCUUCAGUAAUUUUUAUAUGAAGUUCAUUUUCCCCUUUGUCGUUCUAAAUCCAACUUCCUUAUUUACAUUGAGUGGAACACAAGACUUUCGCCAUUGUUAUCAUGUUUUUUUGUUGAAACUCACAUUGCUUUGUAAAUACUGAAGGCUUGAAGGUAAAGUGGCCGUAAUCACUGGUGGGGCGAGCGGUAUAGGAGAGUCCACUGCAAGACUCUUCUCAAAACAUGGAGCUAAAGUUGUGAUUGCAGAUGUGCAAGACGACUUGGCUGAAUCUGUUUGCAGAGACCUAAGCCCUUCGUCCACUUCAUUUGUCCAUUGCGAUGUAACGAAAGAAGAAGACGUCGAAAACGUUGUCCAAACAGCCACAAACAAAUAUGGAAAGCUAGACAUCAUGUUCAACAAUGCAGGUAUAGCUGGCAUGGUAAAACCCAACAUC